UACGUAGGCAGCGAGCGUUGUUCGGAGUUACUGGGCGUAAAGCGUGCGUAGGCGGUGCUCUAAGUCUGUUGUGAAAUCUCCCGGCUUAACCGGGAGGGUGCGGCGGAAACUGGGGUGCUGGAGUGCGGGAGAGGUAAGCGGAAUUCCCGGUGUAGCGGUGAAAUGCGUAAAUAUCGGGAGGAACACCUGCGGUGUAGACGGCUUACUGGACCGUAACUGACGCUGAGGCACGAAAGCGUGGGGAGCAAACAGG
rnacentral:rRNA from 1 species